GGGUGUGUGGUCUAGUGGUAUGAUUUCUGUUUCGCAACACUCGCUUUGCAUUUCUACAGACGGUCCCCGGUUCGAUCCCGGGCACAUCCA